rnacentral:snRNA from 1 species
GCACAAGACAGCAUUUGGGCUGGGACAUCUGUCACCCCUCUGAUCACAGGGUUGGUUUGGCUGAUCUAGUUGGCUAGGCAGGUGUCUCCUUUCUCCCUCACUGUUCCAUGUAUGUCCCUCUCAAAGCUGUAUGCUUGGUUGAAGAGAACAACCUUCCCUGAUAGAGAACCAUUCUUUGGUCAAGGGUAUAUAAGCAGCCUGUGCUCCCCAGCUAGAACCUCCAAACAAACCCUCAAGAAAGCACUUGGAAAUCCCACCUCAGAAAGCUCUAUGCAAGAAUGAGGCCAGAGAGUAUGUAAACCAUACGCUUGUGAAAGCAUGUGCUUGAGU